rnacentral:rRNA from 1 species
UGGACUGCCUGGGUAUUGGGGGGGAUAACGUUUCGGAACGGACGCUAAUACCGUCAUACGUCCUACGGGAGAAAGCAGGGGAAAAAGGGGCCUUGCGCUAUCAGAUGAGCCUAGGUCGGAUUAGCUAGUUGGUGAGGUAAUGGCUCACCAAGGCUACGAUCCGUAACUGGUCUGAGAGGAUGAUCAGUCACACUGGAACUGAGACACGGUCCAGACUCCUACGGGAGGCAGCAGUGGGGAAUAUUGGACAAUGGGCGAAAGCCUGAUCCAGCCAUGCCGCGUGUGUGAAGAAGGUCUUCGGAUUGUAAAGCACUUUAAGUUGGGAGGAAGGGCAUUAACCUAAUACGUUAGUGUUUUGACGUUACCGACAGAAUAAGCACCGGCUAACUCUGUGCCAGCAGCCGCGGUAAUACAGAGGGUGCAAGCGUUAAUCGGAAUUACUGGGCGUAAAGCGCGCGUAGGUGGUUUGUUAAGCGAGAUGUGAAAGCCCCGGGCUCAACCUGGGAACUGCAUUUCGAACUGGCAAACUAGAGUGUGAUAGAGGGUGGUAGAAUUUCAGGUGUAGCGGUGAAAUGCGUAGAGAUCUGAAGGAAUACCCGAUGGCGAAGGCAGCCACCUGGGUCAACACUGACGCUCAUGUACGAAAGCGUGGGGGAGCAAACGGGAUUAGAUACCCCCGGUAGUCCACGCCGUAAACGAUGUCUACUUAAAGCUCGGAGCCUCGGUUCUGUUUUUCAAAGCUAACGCAUUAAGUUAGACCCGCCUGGGGAGUACGGCCGCAAGGUUAAAACUCAAAUGAAUUUGACGGGGGGCCCGCACAAGCGGGUGGAAGCCAUGUUGUUAAUUCGAAUGCAACGGCGAAGAAACCUUACCUAACACCUUUGAAAUUACAAAGAACUUUACCAUGAAAAAUGUGUUGGGUUGCCCUUUCUGGGAAACUUCUGAAUACCAGGUGCCUGCAUUGGCCUGUCCGUCCACUCUCGAGGUUG